UGACUGAGCCCUGGGCGGCGUUUCCGGAGACAGGCCCGGAGUGGGCUGCUGACGCACUUGCUGCCCCCCAGCAGGCCCGAUCACACACACGUCACCAUUUGCCUAACUCGUGGACAAGGAGACCAGUAAGGUGACUAGAGGAAUGGAGUGACGAACACCAGAGAAUGAACGCGGUGUCCCUUGUCCUCACACGCCGGGCCUGUUGACAACACUCCAAUCUGACGUGGGAAAGUCCUGCUGUCCUUUCUGCCCAUUUCCAAGUUUCAGAACCACCCUGGCUCCUGCUGCCGUCAAGGUGAAGGCCCACAUUUCUAGAUGCCCUCGGACCUGGUACCAAGCGCCUCGGGCAUGUGCUGUCCCUGGUCCCCGCCUCCUGGUCCUGCCACAGCCCAGGGAGCAGCUUCCCCUCCCGCACCCCACGCCCAGCCCCCAGCACGUGCUCUCUCCUGCGAACAGUGAGCAGGCAGCGGCUGUGACAGGCCCGAAGCAGCAGAGACCCGGAUGUGGCCACUGCCUAGCUGUGUGACCCAAGAAUGGAGGAAACCCUGGUGGAAUCCCGCUGUCCUUUCCCAGGACUCAAGACGUCCAUCUGUCCCCUGGAAAUGCUCCCAGUAGGCCACUCUGGAGAUCUGAUAGAGCUUUUAUUGCUAAGUGUGAAUGAGCCAGUGCAGAGGAGCCCAGGGCUGGGGUCUAGGUCACUCUCCUCUCUCACUGUGUGGCCUUGGACAAGUACCUUACCCUCUCUGGGCCUCCUUCUUCAAGGGAUCCCUCCACCUCCAACAGACAAGGCUCCUUUGUGUCCCUAACAUAGUACAGGUCUGGGACUGCCUUGGAGAUAUAGUAUGGACCCCAUUGUCCCCUGCUCUGAGGACCUGGGCUCCCGAGCCCCAUGCUGGAGCCCCUUCCUACAGGGCCCUGUGUCUCGGGCUGCCACAGUGGAGGUACCCGAGACCCCUGAUUGGCCCACCUGGGCUCCAGAAGCUCCUAAGUCCACCCCAGGAGGCAGCUCUGCUCUCCCAAGUGUUCUGCGAACUACAAUACCUCGGAAGGAAGCCAACGUUUAGUGAAGACAUUGACCUUGUCAAAAAAAAUAAAAACAAAGCCCGUA